rnacentral:rRNA from 1 species
UACAUGGGGUGCAAACGUUGCUCGGAAUUACUGGGCGUAAAGGGCGCGUAGGCGGCACUGUUAGUCAGGCGUGAAAGUCCUGGGCUCAACCUGGGAACUGCGCUUGAUACGGCAGAGCUAGAGGAUGGAAGAGGCUCGCGGAAUUCCCAGUGUAGAGGUGAAGUUCGUAGAUAUUGGGAAGAACACCGGUGGCGAAGGCGGCGAGCUGGUCCAUUACUGACGCUGAGGCGCGACAGCGUGGGGAGCAAACAGG